GUGAGGAAUCUUCCACAAUGGGCGAAAGCCUGAUGGAGCAACGCCGCGUGAAGGAUGAAGGUCUUCGGAUUGUAAACUUCUUUUAUGAGUGAAGAAUAUGACGGUAACUCAUGAAUAAGCACCGGCUAACUACGUGCCAGCAGCCGCGGUCAUACGUAGGGUGCAAGCAUUAUCCGGAGUGACUGGGCGUAAAGAGUUGCGUAGGCGGUUAUGUAAGCGAAUAGUGAAACCUGGUGGCUCAACCACACAGACUAUUAUUCGAACUGCAUAACUCGAGAAUGGUAGAGGUAACUGGAAUUUCUUGUGUAGGAGUGAAAUCCGUAGAUAUAAGAAGGAACACCAAUGGCGUAGGCAGGUUACUGGGCCAUUUCUGACGCUAAGGCACGAAAGCGUGGGGAGCGAACCGGAUUAGAUACCCCGGUAGUCC
rnacentral:rRNA from 1 species